CCUGGUUGAUCCUGCCAGUAGCAUAUGCUUGUCUCAAAGAUUAAGCCAUGCAAGUCUAAGUACACACGGCAUGUACAGUGAAACUGCGAAUGGCUCUUUAAAUCAGUUAUGGUUCCUUUGAUCACUCUCGCGUUACUUGGAUAACUGUGGCAAUUCUAGAGCUAAUACAUGCCAACGAGCGCUGACCUCUGGGGAUGCCUGCAUUUAUCACACCCAAAAACCAUGUGCGCUUUGGUUACUCUAGAUAACCUUGAGCCAAUUGCUGGCCCCCGGGGCGGCAAUGUCUCAUUCGAAUGUCUGCCCUAUCAACUUUUGAUGGUACUUUCUGUGCCUACCAUGGUGACCACAGGUAACGGGGAAUCAGGGUUCAAUUCUGGAGAGGGAGCCUGAGAAACAGCUACCACAUCCAAGGAAGGCAGCAGGCGCAUAAAUUACCCACUCCCGACUCAGGGAGGUAGUGAUGAAAAAUAACAAUACAGGACUCUUUCGAGACCCUGUAAGUGGAAUGAGCACACAUUAAAUCCUUUAACGAGGAUCAAUUGGAGGGCAAGUCUGGUGCCAGCAGCCACAGUAAUUCCAACUCCAAUAGUGUAUCUUAAAGUUGCUGCAGCCGUAGUUGGAUCUCAGGAUCAAGCUGACGGUCCACCGCGAGGCGAGCUAGCAUCUGUCCCAGCCCCUGCCUCUUGGCACCCCCUUGAUGCUCUUAGCUGAGUGUCCCGCAGGGUCCAAAGCAUUUACUUUGAAAAAAUUAGUGUUCAAAGCAGCAUGAAUACCACAGCUAGGAAUAAUGGAAUAGGACUCCAGUUCUAUUUUGUGGGUUUUCUCUCUGAACUGGGGCCAUGAUUAAGAGGGAUGGCCGGGGGCAUUCGUAUUGUGCUGCUAGAGGUGCAAUUCUUGGACCGGCGCAAGACGGACAAAAGCGGAAGCAUUUGCCAGGAAUGUUUUCAUUAAUCAAGUACAAAAGUCGGAGGUUCGAAGAUAUUCAGGUACCAUCAUAGUUCCAAUCAUAAACGAUGCCAACUAGCAAUCCAGCGGCGUUAUUCCCAUGACCCGCCGGGCAGUGUCUGGGAAACCAAAGUCUUUGGGUUCCAGGGGGAGUAUGGUUGCAAAGCUGAAACUGAAAGGAAAUGAUGGAAGGGCAAAACCAGGAGUUGAGCCUGUGGCUUAAUUUGACUCAACACGGGAAACCUCACCCGGCCCAGACAUGGAAAGGAUUGGCAGAUUAAUAGCUCUUUCUCAAUUCUGUGGGUGGUGGUGCAUGGCCAUUCUUAGUUGGUGGAACAAUGUCUUGUUAAUUCCAAUAAUGAAUGAGACUCCGGCAUGCUAACUAGUUACGCAGCCCCAUGCGGUCAGCGUCCAACUUCUUAGAGGGACAAGUGGCGUUCAGCCACACGAAAUUGAGCAAUAACAGGUCUUUGAUGCCUGGGGCUGCACGCGUGCCACACUGAGUGGAUCAGCAUUUGUCUACCCUUCGCCGAGAGGCAUGGAUAACCUGCUGAAAAACCCACUUGUGAUAGGAGAUUGAGGAUUGCAAUUAUUUCCCAUGAAUGAGGAAUUCCCAGGAAGCGCAGGUCAUAAGCUCACAUUGAUAAAGUCCCUGCCCUUUGUACACACCGCCCGUCGCUACUACCAAUUGGAUGGUUUAGUGAGGUCCUCGGAUUGGUCCCACCGGGGUCAAUGGCGGAAUAUGGAGAAGAAGAUCAAACUUGACUAUCUAGAGGAAGUAAAAUUUGUAACAAGGUUUCCGUAGGUGGCCCUGCGGAAG
rnacentral:rRNA from 1 species